rnacentral:rRNA from 1 species
AUUGAACGCUAGCGGGAUGCCUUACACAUGCAAGUCGAACGAGUGGCGAACGGGUGAGUAAUGUAUCGGAACGUGCCCAGUAGCGGGGGAUCAAUACGCGUAACGUAGCUAAUACCGCCUACUUUUGGAGCGGCCGCUAUCGGAUUAGCUAGCUGGUGGGGUAACGGCUCACCAAGGCGACGCGCCGUAGCUGGUUUGAGAGGACGACCAGCCACACUGGGACUGAGACACGGCGCAGAAAGCGACGGGAGGAAGGAGUGGGGAAGUUAGGACAAGGGGGGAAAGGCUGAACCAGACAUCGGGCGUGUGCGAUGAAGGGCUUCGGGGGGUAAAGAACUAGUGGCAGGGAAGCGGUACCUGAAGAAGAAGCACCGGCGAACUACGUGCCAGCAGCCGCGGUAAUUC